UACGUAGGGGGCGAGCGUUGUCCGGAGUUACUGGGCGUAAAGCGCUUGUAGGCGGUCCACCAAGUUUGGGGUGACAGUUGCCGACUUAAUCGGCAAAGUGCCUCAAAGACUGGCGGACUUGAGGGCCACAGAGGGACAUGGAACUCCUGGUGUAGCGGUGGAAUGCGCAGAUAUCAGGAAGAACACCCGUGGCGAAGGCGGCUCUCUGGAACGCAACUGACGCUGAGACGCGAAAGCGUGGGGAGCAAACAGG
rnacentral:rRNA from 1 species